rnacentral:rRNA from 1 species
UACGUAGGGGGCAAGCGUUGUCCGGAUUUAUUGGGCGUAAAGAGCGUGUAGGCGGUUAGGUAGGUCCGUUGUGAAAACUCGAGGCUCAACCUCGAGACGCCGAUGGAAACCAUCUAACUAGAGUCCGGAAGAGGAGAAUGGAAUUCCUGGUGUAGCGGUGAAAUGCGCAGAUAUCAGGAAGAACACCCGUGGCUAAGGCGGUUCUCUAGUACGGUACUGACGCUGAGACGCGAAAGCGUGGGGGAGCGAACAGG